rnacentral:rRNA from 1 species
AACCUUUUGGAGCCAGCCGCCGAAGGUGGGACAGAUGAUUGGGGUGAAGUCGUAACAAGGUAGCCGUAUCGGAAGGUGCGGCUGGAUCACCUCCUUUCUAAGGA